UGGGGAAUUUUCCGCAAUGGGCGAAAGCCUGACGGAGCAAUACCGCGUGAGGGAAGACUGCCUAUGGGUUGUAAACCUCUUUUUUCAGGGAGGAAUAACUGACGUGUACCUGAAGAAUAAGCAUCGGCUAACUCCGUGCCAGCAGCCGCGGUAAGACGGAGGAUGCAAGUGUUANGCGGAAUCACUGGGCGUAAAGCGUCUGUAGGUWGUUGUUUAAGUCAACUGUUAAAUCUUGAAGCUCAACUUCGAAAUCGCAGUCGAAACUAUUCAACUAGAGUAWAGUAGGGGUAAAGGGAAUUUCCAGUGGAGCGGUGAAAUGGGUAGAUAUUGGAAAGAACACCGAUGGCGAAGGCACUUUACUGGGCUACUACUGAGACUCAGAGACGAAAGCU
rnacentral:rRNA from 1 species